rnacentral:snRNA from 1 species
GUGCUUGCUUCAGCAGCACAUAUACUAAAAUUGGAACAAUACAGAGAAGAUCAGCAUGGCCUCUGCACAAGGAUGAUAUGCAAAUUCAUGAAGCAUUUCAUAUUUAA